UGGGGAAUAUUGGACAAUGGGCGCAAGCCUGAUCCAGCCAUGCCGCGUGAGUGAUGAAGGCCCUAGGGUUGUAAAGCUCUUUCACCGGUGAAGAUAAUGAUGGUAACCGGAGAAGAAGCACCGGCUAACUUCGUGCCAGCAGCCGCGGUAAUACGAAGGGGGCUAGCGUUGUUCGGAUUUACUGGGCGUAAAGCGCACGUAGGCGGACUAUUAAGUCAGGGGUGAAAUCCCGGGGCUCAACCCCGGAACUGCCUUUGAUACUGGUAGGCUAGAGUUCGGGAGAGGUGAGUGGAAUUCCGAGUGUAGAGAUGAAAUUCGUAGAUAUUCGGAGGAACACCAGUGGCGAAGGCGGCUCACUGGCUCGAUACUGACGCUGAGGUGCGAAAGCGUGGGGAGCAAACGGG
rnacentral:rRNA from 1 species